rnacentral:rRNA from 1 species
AUUGAACGCUGGCGGCAGGCUUAACACAUGCAAGUCGAGCGGGGUGAUGGUGCUUGCACUAUCACUUAGCGGCGGACGGGUGAGUAAUGCUUAGGAAUCUGCCUAUUAGUGGGGGACAACAUCUCGAAAGGGAUGCUAAUACCGCAUACGUCCUACGGGAGAAAGCAGGGGAUCACUUGUGACCUUGCGCUAAUAGAUGAGCCUAAGUCGGAUCAGCUAGUUGGUGGGGUAAAGGCCUACCAAGGCGACGAUCUGUAGCGGGUCUGAGAGGAUGAUCCGCCACACUGGGACUGAGACACAGCCCGGACUCCUACGGGAGGCAGCAGUGGGGAAUAUUGGACAAUGGGGGGAACCCUGAUCCAGCCAUGCCGCGUGUGUGAAGAAGGCCUUAUGGUUGUAAAGCACUUUAAGCGAGGAGGAGGCUCUUUUGGUUAAUACCCAAGAUGAGUGGACGUUACUCGCAGAAUAAGCACCGGCUAACUCUGUGCCAGCCGCCGCGGUAA